UGGGGAAUAUUGGACAAUGGGCGCAAGCCUGAUCCAGCCAUGCCGCGUGAGUGAUGAAGGCCCUAGGGUUGUAAAGCUCUUUCACCGGUGAAGAUAAUGACGGUAACCGGAGAAGAAGCCCCGGCUAACUUCGUGCCAGCAGCCGCGGUAAUACGAAGGGGGCUAGCGUUGUUCGGAUUUACUGGGCGUAAAGCGCACGUAGGCGGACUUUUAAGUCAGGGGUGAAAUCCCGGGGCUCAACCCCGGAACUGCCUUUGAUACUGGAAGUCUUGAGUAUGGUAGAGGUGAGUGGAAUUCCGAGUGUAGAGGUGAAAUUCGUAGAUAUUCGGAGGAACACCAGUGUCGAAGGCGGCUCACUGGACCAUUACUGACGCUGAGGUGCGAAAGCGUGGGGAGCAAACAGG
rnacentral:rRNA from 1 species